UACAGAGGUCUCAAGCGUUGUUCGGAUUCAUUGGGCGUAAAGGGUGCGUAGGCGGCGCGGUAAGUCGGGUGUGAAAUCUCGGAGCUUAACUCCGAAACUGCAUUCGAUACUGCCGUGCUUGAGGACUGGAGAGGAGACUGGAAUUUACGGUGUAGCGGUGAAAUGCGUAGAUAUCGAGAGGAACACCUGCGGCGAAGGCGGGUUGCUGGGCUGACACUGACGCUGAGGCGCGAAAGCCAGGGGAGCGAACGGG
rnacentral:rRNA from 1 species